rnacentral:rRNA from 1 species
CCUACGGGAGGCAGCAGUGGGGAAUAUUGGACAAUGGGCGAAAGCCUGAUCCAGCCAUGCCGCGUGGGUGAAGAAGGCCUUCGGGUUGUAAAGCCCUUUUGUUGGGAAAGAAAUCCUGUCGACUAAUACUCGGCGGGGAUGACGGUACCCAAAGAAUAAGCACCGGCUAACUUCGUGCCAGCAGCCGCGGUAAU